UAGGGAAUCUUCGGCAAUGGACGAAAGUCUGACCGAGCAACGCCGCGUGAGUGAAGAAGGUUUUCGGAUCGUAAAACUCUGUUGUUAGAGAAGAACAAGGACGUUAGUAACUGAACGUCCCCUGACGGUAUCUAACCAGAAAGCCACGGCUAACUACGUGCCAGCAGCCGCGGUAAUACGUAGGUGGCAAGCGUUGUCCGGAUUUAUUGGGCGUAAAGCGAGCGCAGGCGGUUUCUUAAGUCUGAUGUGAAAGCCCCCGGCUCAACCGGGGAGGGUCAUUGGAAACUGGGAGACUUGAGUGCAGAAGAGGAGAGUGGAAUUCCAGGUGGAGCGGUGAAAUGCGUAGAUAUAUGGAGGAACAACAGGGGCGAAGGCGGCUCUCUGGUCUGUAACUGACGCUGAGGCUCGAAAGCGUGGGGAGCAAACAGG
rnacentral:rRNA from 1 species